rnacentral:rRNA from 1 species
GAUGAACGCUGGCGGCGUGCCUUACACAUGCAAGUCGAACGGACUUACAUUGAAGCCUAGCGAUAUGUAAGUUAGUGGCGGACGGGUGAGUAACGCGUGGGUAACCUGCCUUGUACUGGGGGACAACAGUUGGAAACGACUGCUAAUACCGCAUAAGCGCACAGCUUCGCAUGAAGCAGUGUGAAAAACUCCGGUGGUACAAGAUGGACCCGCGUCUGAUUAGCUGGUUGGUGAGGUAACGGCCCACCAAGGCGACGAUCAGUAGCCGGCCUGAGAGGGUGAACGGCCACAUUGGGACUGAGACACGGCCCAAACUCCUACGGGAGGCAGCAGUGGGGAAUAUUGCACAAUGGGGGAAACCCUGAUGCAGCAACGCCGCGUGAGUGAAGAAGUAUUUCGGUAUGUAAAGCUCUAUCAGCAGGAAAGAAAAUGACGGUACCUGACUAAGAAGCCCCGGCUAACUACGUGCCAGCAGCCGCGGUAA